rnacentral:rRNA from 1 species
GCCUGCCCAGUGACCAUGUGUUCAACGGCCGCGGUAUUCUGACCGCGCGAAGGUAGCGUAAUCACUUGUCUUCUAAAUAAAGACUAGUAUGAACGGCCACACGAAGACUUAACUGUCUCCCCUGUCCAAUCAGUGAAACUGAUCUCCUUGUGCAGAAGCGAGGAUAAACCCAUAAGACGAGAAGACCCUAUGGAGCUUUAAACUUAAUAUUAACUAUUUCUAUAAACCCCUCUAAGGAAUUAACAAAUAACCCUUUUCAACUUAAUAUUAGUUUUAGGUUGGGGCGACCAUGGAGAAAAAAAUAUCCUCCCUGAUGACUUUUAAACCAAGAGCUACAGCUCUAAGUAUUAAGAUACUUAACUUCCAUUGACCCAUUUUAUGAUCAACGAACCAAGUUACCCUAGGGAUAACAGCGCAAUCCAUUUCAAGAGUCCCUAUCGACAAAUGGGUUUACGACCUCGAUGUUGGAUCAGGGCAUCCCAGUGGUGCAACCGCUACUAAUGGUUCGUUUGUUCAACGAUUAAAGCCCU